rnacentral:rRNA from 1 species
CUACGAGUCGCACCAGUGAGGAAUAUUGCACAAUGGGGGGAACCCUGAUGCAGCAACGCCGCGUGGAGGAUGACGCAUUUCGGUGUGUAAACUCCUUUUAUAUGUCAAGGAAAUGACGGUAGCAUAUGAAUAAGCACCGGCUAACUCCGUGCCAGCAGCCGCGGUAAUACGGAGGGUGCAAGCGUUACUCGGAAUCACUGGGCGUAAAGGACGCGUAGGCGGGUUGGAAAGUCAGGUGUGAAAUCCUACAGCUUAACUGUAGAACUGCACUUGAAACUUCUAAUCUAGAGUAUGGGAGGGGGAGAUGGAAUUAGUGGUGUAGGGGUAAAAUCCGUAGAUAUCACUAGGAAUACCUAAAGCGAAGGCGAUCUCCUGGAACAUUACUGACGCUAAGGCGUGAAAGCGUGGGGAGCAAACAGGAUUAGAAACCCCCGUAGUC